GCCGGCCCCGCCCCACACAAGCUGCCGCGCGCGGGUGCAGUGGCCCCACCCAAAGGAAGGGGAAGCGGAAAGAGCGCGGUCUGGCGUGGGGUAGGAGCGGGAAGACUGCAGCGUAACUCGGUCCGUUCCUGUCCUAGAAAAGGUGCGGAAGUAAAAGCCUCUGCUGCUUCAGGGCUGGAAGGAUCUUCGGUGCCAGGACGCUGGGUCAGGGGCUCCGGGCGGACAGAGAGCUCAAACCUGGGAGAGGAGCCCACCUUGCCCAGUUAUCAACUGACUAUAAAGAAGCGCAUGGGCUUCCCUGGUGGCGCAGUGGUUGAGAGUCCACCUGCCGAUGCAGGGGACACGGGUUCGUGCCCCGGUCCGGGAAGAUCCCACAUGCCACGGAGCGGCUAGGCCCGUGAGCCAUGGCUGCUGAGCCUGCGCGUCCGGAGCCUGUGCUCCGCAACAGGAGAGGCCACAACAGUGAGAGGCCCGCGUACCGCAAAAAACAACAACAACAACAACAAAAAAAAAACAGUGCAAAAAGUACUUGAGCUUAAAUACCAAGGGAAUGACUUUAAAUCUUGCUGCAUGGAACUGCCACUCACCGCUAGAAAUCGGGGAUCGACAGCGAACUCUGGAU